rnacentral:lncRNA from 1 species
AAUAUUAUAAUAUCUCACUAUAUUAGUGGUUAAAUCAGUUUUCUCUAACACAAAUACUCACUCCAUUCUUGGAGUUUAAGCUUUUCUAUCUGAUGAUAUUAGUAGUUUGAUCCCAAAAAAAAAAACGGUCGAGCUGUACAUUGUAAUUGGAGAAACAAAACAAACAAAAAUCAUUCGAAGACUUUUAAGGUAUAUGAAACAAAAAUUAGAAAUAACAAUUCUCUCCAAUUAAAGAAUAAGGCAAUAAAUUUGUAAAAAUACAAAAUAAAACAAAAAAUAUACACAUAAAUAAAGAUUUAGUAAAAUAAAAUCAUAAUAUAAUUUUCAUAAUUGAUAGUGCUCAGUUACACUAAAAAGUCUAAAUUUACAAUAUACACAAUUUUAUUUACAUCUUUAAACCUAUUAUCUAAUUAAAAUGAUUCUAAAAAAAGUGUCAGCAUGAAG